rnacentral:lncRNA from 1 species
GGUUCAUGUCAAUGUCUUCUAGGAAGCGAGAGCAAAAUGUCAUGCACUCCUCGGAGAUAUAUCCCUCCGCUAUCGAACCUUCUGGAUGUGCCUUGUUCCUAACAUAUCCUUUAAGUGUGCGUAGAUACCUCUCGAUCGGAUACAUCCACCGAUAACAAACUGGUCCUCCAAUUUUAGUCUCCUCAGCUAAAUGAACUGGCAAGUGCAUCAUAAUGUCAAAAAAUGCUGG